rnacentral:rRNA from 1 species
AGUGAACGCUGGCGGCGUGCCUAAUACAUGCAAGUCGAACGGAGUGGCGCACGGGGGAGUAAUAUAUAGCUAAUCUGCCCCUUGCUGGGGGACACCCUUUAGAAAUCGCUGCUAAUACCCCAUAGCAAGGGAUGAGACUAUAUCGUAUCAGCUAGUCGGUGGGGUAACGGCCUACCGAGGGUAUGACGCGUAACUGGUCUGAGAGGAUGCUCAGUCAAAUGGGAACUGAGACACGGUCCAAACUCCUACGGGAGGCAGCAGUAGGGAAUAUUGCGCAAUGGGGGAAACUCUGACGCAGCAACGCCGCGUGGAGGAUGACACUUUUCGGAGCGUAAACUCCUUUUGUUAGGGAAGCGGUACCUAACGAAUAAGCACUGGCUAACUCCGUGCCAGCAGCCGCGGUAAUAC